rnacentral:rRNA from 1 species
GACGUAGGGAGCAAGCGUUGUCCGGAUUUACUGGGCGUAAAGAGUUCGUAGGCGGUCUAUUAAGUGUGAAGUGAAAUCCCCAGCGCUCAACGCGGGAACUGCUUCGCAUACUGGUAGACUUGAGGAUUGGAGAGGUAACUGGAAUUCCUGGUGUAGCGGUGACAUGCAUUGAUAUCAGGAGGAACACCAAAGGCGAAGGCAGGUUACUGGCCAAUAUCUGACGCUGAGGAACGAAAGCGUGGGUAGCAAACAGA